rnacentral:tRNA from 1 species
AUUGGAGUUGUUGAGGUGAAAACGGUUUCCUAAACCGUAGGUCGGAAGUUCGAGUCUUCCCGGGAUCGCCA